UAUAUGUAAAAUAACAAAGCAAGGGUCAAAUAUUAGUCAAAAUCUAAUCACGUAAAAUAAGUGAGGUAAAAGUGAAAUUUAAUGAAGUUUAUGGAUCAAAUUACAUGAGUUUAAUUAAAAACUGGAACAACAGCAGCACACAAAAAUAUUGAUGCAAUUUUAAAAUGAAACAGUAAUAUAAACCAAAGAUAAAUAAAAGCAGUAACUUCCAUUUCUUCCGUUAAAGUAGCUAUGCUAAAUUAACCCGAAUAAAAAGGAGGUACCUACAAAUAAUAGAAAAUACGUUUUUUUUUUUUUUUUCACUUUUCUUUCUUCUCUCUCUCUAUUUUUUUUUAAAUUAAAAAAAUGACUCUUACAUAAACGAAAUGAACGAAACAGGGGUUUAAGUUGAGGCACAAAUCAUACACUACCCAUUUAACACAUGGCCCAAUAUUAAUACACUAUCCAAACUACCACCAAAGCCUAAUGAAAUCAGAGGCAGAGACUUACGAGAGGGAAAAUGAGGGCUGUGUUGAUGGAAAUUGCGGCAAGUAUGAUGGGCGACGGCAUUGUGAGGGAGAUCGACGGUCGCGUCCAUGGUGGUCACGAGUGGAGGAGACAGUUGUGGGUGGGUGCUCUGGGUUAUCGCAAGAGGCCCGAGUUCAGAAAGGCGAUGGAUCAAUUUCUGGUUGCUGUAAUUUCAAAUGAGUUUGUUCAAUUUCUGGUUGCUAUCGCGAGUGAGGAGGCUUUGCUGAUUUAGAGUUGAUUUGUAGAUGACUGGUGGAACAGAAAGUGUCUAACCUUUUCGGAUCUGGUGCACAAGGACGGAUUUGCAGCAACGGUUGCAGCUUGGUGGUUGUUAUGGUAGGACAGUUUGUGUAUAUGGUGUAUACAGAGCUCUGUCGGUUAUUAUAUGGGCUAGAGAUUGAUGGUGUUGAACCGCAGCACAGUGAAAUUCUUCUUCGCUGCCAUGGCAAUUCUGUGACUCAAAUUUUGAGUUGAAGAUGUUUGAACCAAGUUCAGCUUUGAUACCACUUUGAUGUAGAAUUAGUUGAGAUAAAGAAGCAAUAACAUGAAAGAAGUAGAGGAAGGAGGAGAAAAUAGGGAAGAAAGAGGAAGAAGCAGCAGGCGCAAGGGAAGAAGAAUACCAGAGAAAAGGAGAAGAAAACCGUGGGCAACAAGUCCAGUUAAUUUCCAAUCAUCGUAUGUUUUCUCUCACAUCCAAUACACCCCACUUGUAGAUAAAGUUGUGGGCUAGGGUCAGGCCCAAAUACAAACCCAAUUUACUAGUCCAAAAUAAUAAAACCCAAAUAAAAC
rnacentral:lncRNA from 1 species